rnacentral:misc_RNA from 1 species
CACUCUUUUUACAAAUUUCUCCAGCGAUCGAACUCGCUAGCAAACUAAUAUCACCUCGAACACCUUAAAACCGAUUUAUCAGGCGAAAAUAUGUCUCUUCUAAACGCUACAACUUAUUGUUCUGAAGAUUGGCGACGAUAAGUGAGCGUUGCUCGCAAGCUACGGUCUUUCUAUUUUUUCCAUUUUUUAUUUUUACCAUGUGCAAGUUUCUAAUUGGUCUGGGUGGUUGGCUGGAGGUGGUUCGAGAGACGUUGAAGAGGGGAUUUUCGGUGUUAUAAAUUAUUUUGCGAACCUUGCGAAUAUAGCGGCAUUCAAAAAGUCUCAGCAACUUUCUAAGUACAAUGUGAAAUUGUUUCAGCGAUAUGUCAUUUUGGACGAGUAGUUUCUUCAUUUUUACAAUUCUGUUGGCAACAACGUUGACGUUAUCGAAAUGCGAGACAAUGGGCGAUUCAA